GGGGCUGUGGCGCAGCUGGGAGCGUGCUUGAAUGGCAUUCAAGAGGUCGGGAGUUCGAUCCUCCCCAGCUCCA
rnacentral:tRNA from 2 species